GGUGGCCCAGGAUCCAGACUCUAGCUUGGCUGACCUUGUUUCCCCACCACCAAGUGUCAGUCUGGAGAUGAGAGGAGAUGGUUUGAAAGGGACACACAGAUACUACCCUGGCAGCGCUGGAACACCCCUCUGGCCAGCCCUGCACUUCAGGUCACUGUCAGCCACACUGCUGACUUCCCAGACAUCCGCCUCCCUGGUGAGCCCAGCAGUCCCCAGACACGCACCCAAAGUCUGCUCCAUUCCCUGUCCUGACCCAAAAGAAGAGAAAAACAAGUUGGCUUUUACAGUCUCAUCUGCAUCCCAGCUAUUGGGGUUUCUGUUCACAGAUGGGGAAACUGAGGCACAGCCAAGAGCAUUCAAUGGUUCAGUGAAUAGUUAGGUGGGUGGAGGCAUCUUAGUCCUUCCCAUUCCCAGACCUCUGGCUGUCUCUCUGCCUCCCCGCCAGUGUCAGCUUCCUCCCCACAGCACCCCUGCCAGCCUGUGUUUUCCGAAGCUCCGUGCCCAGCCCCUGAUCCACGUCUUGACCUGACUGGGGCUGAGGUGAGGCGGGACAGCUCUGUCUGCUCAGACGUCAUCGUAUGUGAGGAUUCAGAAUUCAUCUCUUCAAACAAGAGAAGUGGCUGGUGACACCUCUUUCCCUGACACCUGGGGAAACAGGCUCAGAGGAGUGUCCCCAGCUCCAGGGCACACUGUGAUCUGUGGAAUGCUGAGCUGGGGCCAGGCCCUGGCCUCUGAGCCCACUGACCCUUUCCCUGCUCACUGGGCUCUGGGUGAGUCAGGUGGGAGAGAGGAGCCACCUCCACAGAGGCACCCAAAGCAGGGCCAGGGAAAGCCCUCGUGGUGCAGAUGUGCAGGAGAGAAAGCAGGCACAGGGGCGAGGAGAAUGCAGCCUGGCUUGGGAGACCCGAGCGCCAACAUGGCCCGUCCUCUGCGGUGGGAACCCAGCUCCCCCCCUCUGAGCACUGAGGGCAUGGGAGAGGAGAGGCCAGUGGCUCCCAGCUCCAGCCCUGGAUUCUCUAGUGUCAGCUCUCAGCUCCAUCUCUGAGCCCUGAGCUCCAGGGGCGGGGCUGAUCCUCUCAGGGUGGGCCUCUCCUUCUCCCUGCAGCCUGGACUCUGCAUCCACUGGGCUUGUCGGGAUAGACAAGAGGUCCACAACCCAGCUGGAGGAGGGACGGAAGGGGAAUGAGGGCAGAGGACAGGGAGGAGCAGCUCUGGGGGAAGGGACUUGCUAACCGAGAGGGAGGGAGAAAAGCAGAGGAACCAGGAUCAGCAGAAUGGCGGACAAGAAGAGCCUGGAGGAGGGAGCGUGAAGGGAAAAAAGAAAAAGGCAGGGUCGGGGGGCAAGAGAACCAGCAGGUGGGAGAGAGAACAGAGAGUGGUGGAAGGAAACAGAACCCGGGAAAAUGAAGUCUCUUGGGGACAGCAGGUC
rnacentral:lncRNA from 1 species